AGUGAACGCUGGCGGUAGGCCUAGCACAUGCAAGUCGAACGGCAGCACAGUAAGAGCUUGCUCUUACGGGUGGCGAGUGGCGGACGGGUGAUGAAUACAUCGGAAUCUACUUUUUCGUGGGGGAUAACGUAGGGAAACUUACGCUAAUACCGCAUACGACCUACGGGUGAAAGCAGGGGAUCUUCGGACCUUGCGCGAUUGAAUGAGCCGAUGUCGGAUUAGCUAGUUGGCGGGGUAAAGGCCCACCAAGGCGACGAUCCGUAGCUGGUCUGAGAGGAUGAUCAGCCACACUGGAACUGAGACACGGUCCAGACUCCUACGGGAGGCAGCAGUGGGGAAUAUUGGACAAUGGGCGCAAGCCUGAUCCAGCCAUACCGCGUGGGUGAAGAAGGCCUUCGGGUUGUAAAGCCCUUUUGUUGGGAAAGAAAAGCAGCAGGUUAAGACCCCGCUGUUCGGACGGUACCCAAAGAAUAAGCACCGGCUAACUUCGU
rnacentral:rRNA from 1 species